rnacentral:sRNA from 1 species
CGAUACAGGAUCAAAAUUAUACAUAUAAAAUAUGAAUAUUAAUAACAAUGUCUCCAUCUAAUAUGUACAAAUCCCUCAAGCUUUUACCUAGAAGUACUAAUUAGAUGUGUUUUUCAAUGAUGGCGAGUCUUGGUACAACGGAAAUGUUGUUCUUUUGUGAUCGAAAUGUCAUGAGUUCGAGUCGUAG